GCUACUCUAUUGAAUAUUGAGGUUUUUGGGUACCUGAAAGAAAAUGGUUUGCUUCUUCCAUUGGCAAUGUCUUCAAACAAUCUUGGAUGUUCUAGAUGGCUCUGUGGUGGGCAAUAAAAGCAUCAGGAUCCAGUGCUGCAGACUAGAGUUUCGGAUGCUGCUGGACAAGAUGUGUAUUUAGUUCAGUGCACAGGGCAGGUACUCUAUUGAAUGUUGAGGUUUUUGGGUACCUGAAAGAGAAAAUGGUUUGCUUCAUCCAUUAGCAAAUUUGCAAGAGGAAGCCAAUGUCUUGAAACACGGAGGACAGCUGUGUGGGUGACAUUAAAAGCAAACAUCAGGAUCCAGUGCUGCGGACUAUUGUGUCUCCGAAGCUGCCGGACUCAAUGUUUAUUGACUUCGGUGCACAGGGCAGCUACUUUAUUGAAUAUUGAGGUUUUUGGGUACCUGAAAGAAAAUGGUUUGCUUCUUCCAUUGGCAAUGUCUUCAAACAAUCUUGGAUGUUCUAGAUGGCUCUGUGGUGGGCAAUAAAAGCAUCAGGAUCCAGUGCUGCAGACUAGAGUUUCGGAUGCUGCUGGACAAGAUGUGUAUUUAGUUCAGUGCACAGGGCAGGUACUCUAUUGAAUGUUGAGGUUUUUGGGUACCUGAAAGAGAAAAUGGUUUGCUUCAUCCAUUAGCAAAUUUGCAAGAGGAAGCCAAUGUCUUGAAACACGGAGGACAGCUGUGUGGGUGACAUUAAAAGCAAACAUCAGGAUCCAGUGCUGCGGACUAUUGUGUCUCCGAAGCUGCCGGACUCAAUGUUUAUUGACUUCGGUGCACAGGGCAGCUACUUUAUUGAAUAUUGAGGUUUUUGGGUACCUGAAAGAAAAUGGUUUGCUUCUUCCAUUGGCAAUGUCUUCAAACAAUCUUGGAUGUUCUAGAUGGCUCUGUGGUGGGCAAUAAAAGCAUCAGGAUCCAGUGCUGCAGACUAGAGUUUCGGAUGCUGCUGGACAAGAUGUGUAUUUAGUUCAGUGCACAGGGCAGGUACUCUAUUGAAUGUUGAGGUUUUUGGGUACCUGAAAGAGAAAAUGGUUUGCUUCAUCCAUUAGCAAAUUUGCAAGAGGAAGCCAAUGUCUUGAAACACGGAGGACAGCUGUGUGGGUGACAUUAAAAGCAAACAUCAGGAUCCAGUGCUGCGGACUAUUGUGUCUCCGAAGCUGCCGGACUCAAUGUUUAUUGACUUCGGUGCACAGGGCAGCUACUUUAUUGAAUAUUGAGGUUUUUGGGUACCUGAAAGAAAAUGGUUUGCUUCUUCCAUUGGCAAUGUCUUCAAACAAUCUUGGAUGUUCUAGAUGGCUCUGUGGUGGGCAAUAAAAGCAUCAGGAUCCAGUGCUGCAGACUAGAGUUUCGGAUGCUGCUGGACAAGAUGUGUAUUUAGUUCAGUGCACAGACUUUACUAGGGCAGGUACUCUAUUGAAUGUUGAGGUUUUUGGGUACCUGAAAGAGAAAAUGGUUUGCUUCAUCCAUUAGCAAAUUUGCAAGAGGAAGCCAAUGUCUAGAAACACGGAGGACAGCUGUGUGGGUGACAUUAAAAGCAAGCAUCAGGAUCCAGUGCUGCGGACUAUUGUGUCUCCGAAGCUGCCGGACUCAAUGUUUAUUGACUUCGGUGCACAGCUACUCUAUUGAAUAUUGAGGUUUUUGGGUACCUGAAAGAAAAUGGUUUGCUUCUUCCAUUGGCAAUGUCUUCAAACAAUCUUGGAUGUUCUAAAUGGCUCUGUGGUGGGCAAUAAAAGCAUCAGGAUCCAGUGCUGCAGACUAGAGUUUCGGAUACUGCUGGACAAGAUGUGUAUUUAGUUCAGUGCACAGGGGCAGAGUACCCCUAGAUUGACAGAGCACCCCUGGAUGGAUACAGCAUGGACAGAGCACCCCUAGCACCUUGAUGGACAACAGUGCAGUAUCCUGGAUAGACAACACAGCACGGACACAUCCGCUCACUACAAGCUUCACAGCCGGAUUGAAAUGGCGCCGAUCACCGGGGGCCUUAUAUAGAUUCCAUAACCCGUGAGAAUACAACAGCAGGAGGAUGACGUUUGUCCUCGUUUUGAGACCUGGAGGGAAAACCGAAGCUGGACACGGAUCCUGGCCUGGAUCAGGAAGUUUGGGUUGGUCCGGUUCUCAGGGAACCGGACCCACUCAUCUAUAAAUAUUAUCUGCAAUUUAUUUUCUUAACGUGAAAAGUGGGGUUGUUGUUAUUAUCAUCCUUUUUCUCCGGCAGGGUCCACAGGUUAUCAACAGGAUAACAAAUGGGAUAUGAUGGAGCGACAGCGGAUUUGCACAAAUCAGUCAAAGCUUUCUGGCCUCCCAGCAUGCAACAGACCCGUCCAUAUAUCCCCACCGCCUGGCUCAGGCAAAUCAGUUUUUUGUUUGGUGCAGCAAGAGCCGGACCAUGGUCAGAGAGCUGCUGUUUCUUUAGCAGCCCCAAGCUUUCUUAUUUUAU